UGAACGUUGGCGGCGUGGAUUAGGCAUGCAAGUCGCACGAGACACCAAUUAGCUUGCUAAGAGGUAGACAGUGGCGCAAGGGAGAGUAACGCGUGGUUACUUGCCCUCGAGACCGGGAUAGUGUCGGGAAACUGGCAGUAAUACCGGAUAACAUCUUCGGAUCAAAUGGUGUGAUUCCGCUCGAGGAUAGGACCGCGUACUAUUAGCUUGUUGGUGAGGUAACGGCUCACCAAGGCUGCGAUGGUUACCGGGUGUGAGAGCAUGGCCCGGCUCACUGGGACUGAGACACUGCCCAGACACCUACGGGUGGCUGCAGUCGAGAAUCUUCGGCAAUGGACGAAAGUCUGACCGAGCGACGCCGCGUGCGGGAUGAAGGCCCUCGGGUUGUAAACCGCUGUCAGUAGUUAGGAAAUCCAUGGGGGUUAUCCCUCAUGGUUGACCGAUCUUCAGAGGAAGGACGGGCUAAGUUCG
rnacentral:rRNA from 1 species